CACAGAUUGCAUCGCAAAUCCACCCUGCAUUGGUGCCGAGUCCGGAUUUCGAUCAGCUGUUGUGACUGUGCUGCUGGCGGUGUUACUGUUUGACAGAAUGCGAGAUAUUCCCUUCUGCUUUUCAGUAUUCAUACUUGACUGUCAUCUCACCAGAUAUCUGAAUGAUGUCAUUGGGAGAAACCCCGCUGUCUGUUAACUUCUGGACCAGGUGUUUCCUUAUACGGAAAAAACCCAAAUGAUUCUGUUCUCAUGCCGAAGUUCAGACAACGAAUCAUCCACAUGGUGUGAAGGAGGCUGUGGGGGUUAUCACUUCCGAGGGUCUUGGCAUCUUACAUGGCAUCAAUAUCCAUAUCUGACAGCUCUUCAGAAGCCUUGGGUUUGUUGCCUUUACCCAUUGAUUUAAGUUCUUUUUGUUUGCAUUUGAGUGUUUCUCUAGAUCUUGCAAAUGUGAUAUCGGAAAUUAUGUUAAAUGUAGAAUCCAUUUGUUUCAAGUAUCUUUGUAGGGAAGAUUGGUAGCUUUUUAGACUGA